GACGAACCGUGCGAACGUUGUUCGGAAUCACUGGGCUUAAAGGGCGCGUAGGCGGGCGGCCAAGUCAGGGGUGAAAUCUUUCGGCUCAACCGGAAAAGUGCCUCUGAUACUGGUGGCCUCGAGGGAGGUAGGGGUCUGCGGAACUUCCGGUGGAGCGGUGAAAUGCGUAGAUAUCGGAAGGAACGCCGGUGGCGAAAGCGGCGGACUGGACCUCUUCUGACGCUGAGGCGCGAAAGCGUGGGGAGCAAACAGG
rnacentral:rRNA from 1 species